rnacentral:lncRNA from 10 species
AGUUGCCAAGGAUGCUGCAAAAGAUAUGACAAGUGAUUGCGAAAGACGGACUGGCAUAGAGGUUAAGAGUAUGAACUCCAAAGUCACCGGCCUAGUUUAGAAGAUCCUGGUUUGCCAAUUGCAAGAAAUAAAAUUUGAUGGAAUAAGGAUGAUCCACAUCUGUGAGACUCCUCAAAGAUGAAACCCAUUGCAACUAGCAUCGAAUCCUCUGAAAUCUACAAAGAUAAGAAUUUCAAGUGUAAACAUUGUGAAAUAUUUUCUCCAUCAAAGUGAGACAAACCCUAGGAAUCUAAAAAUCAGAUACUGACUUCUCCCUUUGCAGUGCCAACAAUGAAACCAGCAGACAAUCUCUAAAACUUUCUUUUUAUCCCUGUCACUCAAAAGGAAAAAUCAAGAACAUCAAAUGAAAUGACUUAUCUGUGAAAUUUUUUGGUGUUUGGUAACUUUGCAGAAUCACAAAUCAAAACUUCCCAGCAUCUCCUAGUCACAAACUUCCCUAAGCAUUUCCAC